GCAUGUCGAUCAACUGUACCGUUAUUCAGUGUUGUUUACAAAUCCAAAUGGAAGGUUCAUCAAAUUUAACGCAUUUGACUUGUGGAGGGGGAUCUGCGAUGCUGUAGGUGUUCAAAAAGAAGUCGGCAUGGACUGACAAGGUCAUAAAGGUGGUCAAGAAAUAAAUUGCCAACAGACAGCAGCAUUCCUUGAUUUAGAUGCAUUUCUCUUCAUGUCCUCUCCUGAAAGAUUUUCCAUGAUGCCUCAGGGUUAGGAUUGGGAUGCAAGAUGUACAGUACAUAUAUAUGAUGUCUAUGGGUACAUUGCUGUAAUGGCCUGAAAAAUCUUUUGCGAAACCGAGAAAUGUUCAUCUUCCAUUGCCUUGAUUGUGUAAAAGGACAAGCAGAGGAAUGAUUCAAAAAUAUAUGGCAGGAUUGAGAAUCUAACCCAUGACCCGUAGUCUGGUACUCUACCCACUGAUCAAUCCAUGCUGAUGGUCCAUCUGCUACAUUGAUGUCAUCUUAUAUAUUUAUUUAUUCAUUUAUAUCAUAUGGACAUUUAAAAAUUGACAGUAAAAUUAAAAAACGUUUGAUAUUCAGCAAAAUAGAAUUUGUUACAAUACAUGUUUAAGAAAUUAAGUACAUGUACAUGCAUUGUUAUGCAUACAAUUAUAUGUACAUGUAAUUAUAUUUGUUAAUAGAUAAAUUUUUAGAUGAAUUUUCAUGUUGUUAUUGAUAUUGACAUGUACAUGUAUUACUUCCAUUUCUAGAAUGAUUUUAACAUCUUGAUAUUAAAAAGAUGACAUAAUAAAUAAAUCUUAAAUAUUUGUCAACAAA